CACGUAGGGGGCAAGCGUUGUCCGGAUUUAUUGGGCGUAAAGAGCUCGUAGGCGGCUUGUCGCGUCGACUGUGAAAUCCCGCGGCUCAACUGCGGGUCUGCAGUCGAUACGGGCAGGCUAGAGUUCGGUAGGGGAGACUGGAAUUCCUGGUGUAGCGGUGAAAUGCGCAGAUAUCAGGAGGAACACCGAUGGCGAAGGCAGGUCUCUGGGCCGAUACUGACGCUGAGGAGCGAAAGCGUGGGGAGCGAACAGG
rnacentral:rRNA from 1 species